GACGAACGCUGGCGGCGUGCUUAACACAUGCGAGUCGAACGGAAAGGCCCUGCUUUUGUGGGGUGCUCGAGUGGCGAACGGGUGAGUAACACGUGAGUAACCUGCCCUUGACUUUGGGAUAACUUCAGGAAACUGGGGCUAAUACCGGAUAGGAGCUCCUGCUGCAUGGUGGGGGUUGGAAAGUUUCGGCGGUUGGGGAUGGACUCGCGGCUUAUCAGCUUGUUGGUGGGGUAGUGGCUUACCAAGGCUUUGACGGGUAGCCGGCCUGAGAGGGUGACCGGCCACAUUGGGACUGAGAUACGGCCCAGACUCCUACGGGAGGCAGCAGUGGGGAAUAUUGCACAAUGGGCGGAAGCCUGAUGCAGCAACGCCGCGUGCGGGAUGACGGCCUCCGGGUUGUAAACCGCUUUCGCCUGUGACGAAGCGUGAGUGACGGUAAUGGGUAAAGAAGCACCGGCUAACUACGUG
rnacentral:rRNA from 1 species